AUUCUAGGUAGAAUUAUGAUGAUGACAUUAUCUAUCUAUUAGUCUUGACCAAAUUACGUCCAGCAGUCGCGGUAAUACGUAGAAGACAAGUGUUAUUCAUCUUUAUAUAGGUUUAAAGCGUACCAAGACGGUUAAUAAAGCCCAAAAGAAAUGAAUACGGGGGACACAUUAACUAGAGUUAUAUGAAAGGAAGCAAUAAGGUACUGUUGUGUGUAGAGAUGAAAUUUUAUGAUACCAGAUGAUUGGCACAGAUUAAKGCGAAGGCAUCUUCUUAUGUAAUAACUGACGUUGUAGGACGAAGGCUUAGGAAGUGAACAGGAUUAGGUACCCCAGUAAUCUAGGCAGAAAAUGAUGAAUGUCAUAGGUUGAAUACAGACAGGUUAAUUUGACUAUAUAAUAGUUAAUUUGGUGGUAUAUUAAUCAGUCUAUUAUUCUGUCUAUAAAUGAAAGUGUAAGCAUCCACCUCAAGAGUAUUUGGCAACAUUGGAACUGAAAUCAUUAGACCGUUUCUGAAACCAGUAGUGAAGUAUGUUGUUUAAUUAGAUGAUACACAAGAACCUUACCACAAUGAAUAUAUAUAUAAAAUAUAUUUACAAGCGCUGCACGGCUGUCUACAGUUAAUGUCGUGAGACUUUGGUUAGCUCCAGUAAAUUAACGUAAACCCUAAUUUUAUUUAUAAAUAAAAUUANCAUCGCUAUAUUUGAUGUUNUAAGAGGGAACAUGACNAGUCAUCAUGGCCUAAAGUUUUGUGGGGCUAUAGACGUGCCACAUAAAA
rnacentral:rRNA from 1 species